CAGUAAGGAACAGAUUUUGCCAGCGAGCAGAUCUCUGGACUGAAGUAGUAUUUACACAGUUUUUUUGGUUCGCCCGGAGGGGGCGAGAGAAGAAGAAGAAGUAGAAAGGUACGGACAUGGAUACUCACAAGUCUAGGAAAGAGAAACCACAACAAGAACAAGAAGAAGAUCGACAACAACAGAAUGCAAACGCAAAGCGAAAGCGAAAAGAGGUUUUUCCCUUCGGGAAUUACAGAAAUUACUACGGCUACCGUAUUGGUCAUGAUAUGGAAGAAGAUCCUCGGCUUAAGGUUUUGAAGAAGGAGUGGUUCGAGGGCAAGGAUUGCCUUGAUAUUGGCUGCAACAGUGGCGUUCUAACUAUCCAUAUUG